GACGAACGCUGGCGGCGUGCUUAACACAUGCAAGUCGAACGGUGAAGCGCCUUCCUUUUUGGUGGGUGUGGAUGAGUGGCGAACGGGUGAGUAACACGUGAGUAACCUGCCCCCUUCUUCUGGAUAACCGCAUGAAAGUGUGGCUAAUACGGGAUAUUCUGGGUCUGUCGCAUGAUGGGUCUGGGAAAGAUAUUGUUUCGGUGGGGGAUGGGCUCGCGGCCUAUCAGCUUGUUGGUGGGGUGAUGGCCUACCAAGGCGGUGACGGGUAGCCGGCCUGAGAGGGUGGACGGUCACACUGGGACUGAGACACGGCCCAGACUCCUACGGGAGGCAGCAGUGUGGAAUAUUGCACAAUGUACGCAAGCCUGAUGCAGCGACGCCGCGUGAGGGAUGGAGGCCUUCGGGUUGUGAACCUCUUUCGCCAGUGAAGCAGGCCUGCCUAGUUUGUGGGUGGGUUGACGGUAGCUGGAUAAGAAGCGCCGGCUAACUACGUG
rnacentral:rRNA from 1 species